CAACGCAAAGUUCAAAAGGAGUCUACAAGAAUGUCAAUAUCGACAUAAGAUGGCGUCUACUUCCACUGGUAAAACACCUAAAGGAAUCUUAAAACAGACUAAUUCUUUGGAGGAUCAGAGUGUGGAGGUGCAUUUUGAUGAAAUGAACAUUUUACAAACAUACCACCCAGCAAACAAAGAUUAUGGUCACAUGAAGAUAAAUGAACCGCCAACGCCUUACAGUUAUUCUUGUGAAGAUUCUGAUACUGAGUCCAAUGAAAAACUAGAUCCAAAAAAGUUGGCAGAAAAAAUGCAAAAUGUUG